CGUAGGGUGCGAGCGUUAAUCGGAAUUACUGGGCGUAAAGCGUGCGCAGGCGGUUUUGUAAGACAGGCGUGAAAGCCUGCAGCUCAACUGUAGAACAGCCAUUGAAACUGAAGGUCUUGAAUGUGGUUAAAGUAGGCGGAAUGUAUCAUGUAGCGGUGAAAUGCUUAGAUAUGAUACAGAACACCGAUAGCGAAGGCAGCUUGCUGAACCAUUAUUGACGCUGAGGCACGAAAGCGUGGGGAGCAAACAGGAUUAGAUACCCUGGUAGUCCACGCCCUAAACGUUGAUUACUCGUUGUUGGCGAUAUAACUGUCAGCGACUAAGCUAAAGCGUUAAGUAAUCCACCUGGGAAGUACGACGCAAGGUUG
rnacentral:rRNA from 1 species